rnacentral:rRNA from 1 species
CAGUAGCCGCGGUAAUACGUAGGGUGCGAGCGUUAAUCGGAAUUACUGGGCGUAAAGCGUGCGCAGGCGGUUUUGUAAGACAGGCGUGAAAUCCCCGGGCUCAACCUGGGAAUGGCGCUUGUGACUGCAAAGCUAGAGUGCGGCAGAGGGGGAUGGAAUUCCGCGUGUAGCAGUGAAAUGCGUAGAUAUGCGGAGGAACACCGAUGGCGAAGGCAAUCCCCUGGGCCUGCACUGACGCUCAUGCACGAAAGCGUGGGGAGCAAACAGGAUUAGAUACCCCUGAGUCCCGUCUCUUAUACAC